UGGGGAAUAUUGCACAAUGGGCGCAAGCCUGAUGCAGCCAUGCCGCGUGUAUGAAGAAGGCCUUCGGGUUGUAAAGUACUUUCAGCGGGGAGGAAGGGAGUAAAGUUAAUACCUUUGCUCAUUGACGUUACCCGCAGAAGAAGCACCGGCUAACUCCGCGCCAGCAGCCGCGGUAAUACGGAGGGUGCAAGCGUUAAUCGGAAUUACUGGGCGUAAAGCGCACGCCGGCGGUUUGUUAAGUCAGAUGUGAAAUCCCCGGGCUCAACCUGGGAACUGCAUCUGAUACUGGCAAGCUUGAGUCUCGUAUAGGGGGGUAGAAUUCCAGGUGUAACGGUGAAAUGCGUAGAAAUCUGGAGGAAUACCGGUGGCGGAGGCGGCCCCCUGGACGAAGACUGACGCUCAGGUGCGAAAGCGUGGGGAGCAAACAGG
rnacentral:rRNA from 1 species